rnacentral:sRNA from 1 species
GUUGUUCAUGCGUAUUGUUGAGAGAUUCUCCAAUGAAGUCCCAUACUUUAAACAAAGAAGAGAUGCCACCAGAAGACUCGGUUUCUCGGCACUACAGAAGUCUACAGCAGCAAUUCGUAUGCUCGCAUAUGGUAUUGCGGCUGAUGCGGUUGAUGAAUACCUCUGAAUUGGU